rfam:Triticum urartu cultivar G1812 contig172898, whole genome shotgun sequence.
AAUCUACUCCCUCCGUCCGGAAAUACUUGUCAUAGAAAUGGAUGUAUCUAGACGCAUUUUAGUUCUAGAUACAUCCAGUUUUAUUCAUUUUUGCUACAAGUAAUUCAGGACGGAGGGAGUAAUUA